GGAUUAUGGCUCAUAGGUAGAGCGCUCACCUAACAUGUGCAAGGCCCUGGGUUCGAUCCUCAGCACCA
rnacentral:tRNA from 1 species